AGAAUCCAAACCAAAGAUGACAGUGGCAACAACUAUGUUAUUUCUGGCUGGGUGUCUCUGUUUUGGCUCUACCGCUACAACAAAUGUUAAUCGUGUCUCAGGAAAAGAAAGUGCAUCUCUACCGAACACCGCGGACGUCCCUUUAUCACCUACAGUAACUUACCGGACGAAGAACAGCACAGAGGACGGGACUCACACCUCAACACAAACACACAGAAUGUCCACCGCCGAAACACAUCGUCCAACCACAACAGCAGAAUCGGCUUCUUCAGGGAGACGUGACAUUCAGACGUUCUCCUCAUUCUCAUCAACUCCACCAGUGUCAUUCACCAGAAGUCUCCAACGGCAGAGAGUGACGCACAAGGAAGAAAUGACGACAUCUCAAAUACAGGACGAGGUUUACACAACUCCUCACACUCCUGUUGGUCAACACACAAGCGGCAACACAGUCUCCACACAGUUCAACACCCACAUCACUGCGACUGAAGAGCAAAGCAGCCGUGCAGCAAGAGUUGAGCACGUCAAUAACCUGACAGACGCAAAACAGUCACAGACUCAAAUGCCCUUGCAGAUCAUGGGCUACACAACCACAAAACACAGCAUGAGCUACACACAUCUCAACACUCAUGACAGGAGCACGACAAGAGAAGUGACAGAAGAGGAAACCAUGAACCGGACAGAUACAGAUGACUCACAGACACAAAAGCCAAACCACAAUAUGGGCUACACAACUACCAAACACAGUGUGAACUACACACACACCAGCACUCACGAUAUCAUGAACCAGACAGAAACAAACAACUCAAUGUCUUCUCAGAAGAUGGGCUACACAACACCCAACACCUACUUCACCACCCACGACAGAAGCACAGAUAACAUGAACCAGACAGAAACAAACGACACAAUGUCUUCUCAGAAGAUGGUCUACACAACACCCAACACCUACUUCACCACCCAUGACAGAAGCACGGAUAUCAGGAACCAGACACAAACGUCAUUGAUCAGUAAACACGCAACCAUGGACUACACACACCUAACCACGCCUGGAGGCCAAAGGAGUCAGAGUUCCACAACAUCUACAUCCAGCACAAACACACACACUGACUCAAGCUGGGAUACACCGUCAACAGUGAUGCUCAGAGGCAGGAAGUACAGAACCAGACCAACAGAAGACCUCUCCAGGCCGAGCACAGUGCUGAGUACAAUCAAACUUCAUGUGACAACUUCUCACAUCCAGGACACACAUGCCCCUCCAGGUCAGACCAAAUGUUCAGAGCACUCCACGUCACCACCAUCCACCAAGUUGCUGUGCUUCAUUACCCUGUGGAUUCUUGGGGUGACGGCCUCAGCUUUCAUGGGACUGACGGUGUUCCUGUGGGUCCGUCUCACCGUGAUGAGAGAACGGGUGAAGGAGAAGAGGGAGACCUGGGGGGAGCCAGAGAACGUGGAACAGACUCAAAGUUUAUGGACCAAUCACAAGGCUUCAGUGCAGGAAAGGGUGGAGUUCUGGUACAGCAACAACAUGGAGACCAUGGUUGCAAAUCAGAGCAGUGAGAACAGCAACCAGCAGAAGGGACAGAGGAAGCAGAAUCAGAAAGGGAGUUGGAAAAAGAGCAGGAAUGCCAACAGGAAUUUGUGGACGCAACCAAAGGUGACAAUGCAGGACAUCAGCGAGUUUUGGUACACCAAUGGGAGGACUCCUCUGGACAGGACUCCUUCCACCAUCCAGGAAGAAGAUGAGACAACCAGCGAAGAACAUACUUGACCCAAUCAUUGUUGGCCAUAAAGAACAUGGGCCACAAUGCACCAUCACCUGCUCAUUUGGCAGCCAUGCCCCAGUUCCUUCCUUCCAUCGAAGACUUACGACAAACUGUCACGUGAUUCUAUCCACGUGACCGGGAUCAAUGCGGAUACGAGGCGACGCAACUCCUAUAAAUAGCCAAGAUGUCCAUCAUUCGUUGCUCAGUCAUUAUUGCGAUUCAGCUUUAAGACUCGGCCGAUCAUCUUCAUCAUCAAAGUAAGACUGUUCCAGUUAUUUCUCGCCUUGUUGUCUAUCGUCCUCUAUGUACGAACGUCAACAUCCAUGGAUGUUGCGGCUGUCACCGGUUCACCUUCUGGAAGCGUUGGAGAUCCGCCGUUUUUCAUCUCCAGACAAUCACAUAACUCCCAAAAGAACCAACAUUAUCUUACAACAGUAGAUAGAGAUACAGGGCAUGGGCGGAGUUCAAUCAUUGUUCUGCAGCCAGCCAACAGGGCCACUAGACCUGUGGUGGUUUCACUGGUCACAGAUGAUGUUGACUCCUUGAGAACCACUUCUGCAGGAGAACUUGAGACACAUUUUGGGGUUCCGUGUGCCUGAAUCUGGUUCCUAACAGCACAGUUUUGUUCUAAAGAGCAAUAAGGAUUAAUUAAUGGGCGAACUGUGAACCGCAACCUUUUAAAACGUUUUCUCCCACAUGUCAUAUCCCAGGGCACGGGUCCAGGGAAUGUUUCAGAAAACCACACAUCAUUCAGCACAAAUAACACUUUUAUAAAAAAAAAAACCAGUGUCGGUACACAUAAAAAAAAAAAAAAAGUGAAGUGAUUGUCACAUGUGAUACACAGCAGCACAGCACACGGUGCACACAGUGAAAUUCGUCCUCUGCAUUUAACCCAUCGCCCUGAGUGAGCAGUGGGCAGCCAUGACAGGCGCCCGGGGAGCAGUGUGUGGGGACGGUGCUUUGCUCAAUGGCACCUCAGUGGCACCUUCCUUAACCUCUAGGCCACCACUGCCCCAUGCUGGUUAUGUACUCUGUACUGUGUCUGUAAUAUGAUAAUGAUUAUUGCUGAUUUGCAUAUUUUGUUUACGUGUGUGAAUAAAGGAAUACAUGAAACAUGUUGUAUUUGUUUC
ensembl:lncRNA